AUUGAACGCUGGCGGCAGGCCUAACACAUGCAAGUCGAACGAGUGGCGGACGGGUGAGUAAUGACUGGGAAACUGCAUGAUGGAGGGGAAUAACUACUGGAAACGGUAGCUAAUACCGCAUACCAUCAGAUGGGCCCAGUUGGGAUUAGCUAGUUGGUGGGGGAACGGCUCACCAAGACGACGAUCCCUAGCUGGCCUGAGAGGAUGAACAGCCACACUGGAACGUAGACACGGUCCAGACUCCUACGGGAGGCAGCAGUGGGGAAUAUUGCACAAUGGGCGAAAGCCGGAUGCAGCCAUGCGGCGUGUAUGAAGAAGGCCUUCGGGUUGUAAAGUACUUUCAGCGGGGAGGCGUUACCCGCAGAAUAAGCACCGGCUAACUCCGUGCCAGCAGCCGCGGUAAUUC
rnacentral:rRNA from 1 species